AUCCCUAUUCGUGAUCUUUCUUUUUCCUUUCCCGCAAAUGACACAUGCUCUCCAUUAAAAUUCUGAAUGUCAUGCAAAUUAGAGAUGUCUCACAUCUGUUGGAUUAGGGUCGUUAGCCGAACGGGUAGGAUAGGACGAAGCCUUCCGUCAUAAGUAUAAUGAAGUAUAAAAGUAACUAAAUGUUUUUCAAAUUCCCAAUCUUAGUUACUUAGGCAAAGUGAAUUGAUGCAAUUCCAUGAAAUUACACUUUGUGCCCUUGCGAAGACGUUAGUGGAGCGUGUGUGGUUUACCGGCACACUAAAUGGUUCUAAGCAAAGGUAGCAAAGGGUGACUCAAUGUUUGUCAUAGUUCGGUGGAGCGUGUGUGGAUUACCGGCACACCGAAUAGGUGACUGUAACAUGUGAGGGCACCAUGUAAGUUUACAUGGUUAUUCACACCCGCUUUGUGAUCCUCGGUAUCCCAGUCACAAACAAGAGGGGCAUAUCGAGAUUUAAACAUGCCAUUGAAAUGUUCAAUGAAUCUCAAAGGAUCUAGGAGUUUUCAUAGAUUUAAAACCUAAAUUUAUUUUUCGUUUUUCAUGGUGGAAAUUAGUGAAUCGUCAUUCACUUACCUUCAAAUGUUCUGCAAUUAGGGUUACGGCAUCCCUCUCCCGAGUUGUAGAAUAUUGUGUUGGGUCCUAGCCUUAGUAUCUCAUUUGGGUGAUUUACUAAGGACUCAAUCAAUCAACUAACUUGAAUUUGUUUCCUCCCGUUUUGUAGAUGUCAAAGUUCGACAACUAUGGUCUUCCCAAAUCCCGUGGAACAAGCAUUCCACAUGAAGAUGGUAUUCCACGAUUCGAUCGAGGAACAAGAAAUCAUGCUUCACUUCCUCCACCUCCUCCAAUUAUUCUCCCUAACCCACAAGUUCAAAGGCUUGAAAAGUUCAAGAUCACUCAAGCCCUUUUGGCAAGUAAACAUAAAGAAGGAAAGUCGGUGUGUGCACACGUCCUAGGGAUGAAGUCACACAUUGAUAGGUUAAGAAUGUUGGGAUCCGUUGUCUGUGAGGAAAUGGCUGUUGAUUGGGUUCUUCAGUCACUUCCUAACUCAUAUAGUGAGUUCGUAAGAGAGUACUAUAUGAUGAACCGCGACGUGACCCUUAUAGAUCUCACCUAUAUGCUUAUUGCUGCUGAAUCAGCAAUGGUUUGGCGCAAUAGAAAAGCAAAGUUGAUUGGUGAAUCUGCCUUCAAGACCUCUAUGGAUAUAGACAAUGGCAACGAAAGACAUGCUAUGAUCGAAAAGUUUGAUCAUAAGAGAAAGGCAAUGUCUGAAGUAGUUCCAUGUCAUGUUCCAAAAGAGUCAAUUUGCUUUUAUUGCCAAGAGAAAGGGCAUUGGAGACGAAGCUGCCCCAUUUACCUAAGAGAUCUAAGAGAUGGGAGAGUCGAAACGUAUGGCUCUAAUAUAGGUAAAAUCCAUUAACUAACUCUUUUAAGCUUCUAUUCUAGAUUCUUAAUACAUAAUGUGAUAAGAUUACAAUUGAUGUUUUGUAGGAUCGAAGAAAAGAAAGGAAGCUUAAGGGAAGAAGUGAGCAGAAUCUAACCGUGAAGGAAUGGAUUUCGAUCGCAUUUCUCGAAGAUUAGAUUCUUGAGCUACUACUUAGAGUUAGAAUUAGAUUGCUAAGAAAGAUGUAUUAGCAUAGUUUUUCAAUGAAUUGCAUUGUAAGGACAAAUUUUUUCCGCAAUAAAAUAAAUUUUGAUUUUAUAUUAUUUAUUUAUCCUUGCAAUGGCGUAUAUGAAAAAUUGAUGUUUGAAUGUUUCUAUUAUUAGCAAUAAUGGAUUUGGUUCUUAUUAUGUUAUUUAUGGAAAGUCGAGAAUUUACCAAAUAGGGAGAGUUUCUCAUCGCCCAAGUUUCAAUUGGACAGAAACUUGGAAUCAUGCAACUUGGUUGCACGAUGAAUGAGAAAUUUCAUAUUUGGAAAUUAGACUAAUUCAUUGACAAAGUGUCAAGUGAAGGACUAGGAGAUCGAGUACACAAAGUUGCGUGUUGAUCAAGUCCACCAUAAGAGUAACAAAGAUAUUCGUCAUGAUUUACUAAAGGUUUAGUAAAUAUGAUUAUACUUACAAGAUUAAGUGUAAUUCUGAAUUGAUUGAAAAAGUUUAAAUCAAUAGCAGAACGAAUAAGAAGAAUCAAGUAGGCAGAAAGAUAAAAGUUUCUCCAUUCUAAGAAGAAGGGAGAGUACCUUUUAUGCUUUAUGAUAGGUCUUAAUGAUUAAGAACCAUAUCUCAAUUGAUCCUCUAAGUGAGUCUUAGUACAAUUGUAUGUCUAAGAAGAGGAAUCAAGAAUUGAAGAAAUGGUUAAAUCAAGAAGUCAAUCAUACUUCGUUCCAAAACAAGUCUUAGAGUUAAGAUUGUGACAUUGAGUGAUAAGUAUUAAGAAGGUUUAUAACAUUCAUCAAAUGUGGAAAGUUGUGAUGUCUUGGAUAAGACAAAGACCAACUAGGACCAAUUUAUGAAGUGUUUUGAUAAAAGCUACACUAACUCUUGAAUAUUUGUUUGUCAAGAAAUGUUUAUUGACAAGAGAAUCUUAUAUGUCAAGGAGUCAGUGGGAGUCUUAAUGGUCUUGAAAGGUUUCAAGAACAAAUCAAAUAAACCUUAUCGAUCAUCACUAGCACACGAGUUGAGGUUUACAACCUAUCGUGUUGACAUUAUUUUGUUUCUGUGCCAAUCCAAUCGAGUUAAUUAUGCAUGUGAGUUCUAUGAGUUCUCAUUUUGAACGCAUAAAAGGCAAAGCACCUUAAUCAAUGAAAGGUACAUUGAUAGGAAAGGGUGAGCUGCUUAACUACUUGGAAGACAUGGUGGGCAGCUGUGCUACCAUAAGGCAAGAAAUCAAGAUUAAGAAAGUUCGGUCCAUAUGAGUUUGAAUUUGUCGUAAACUUUGGUUUUAACAAAUUCACAUGGAUAGGAACACAUACACCGUUUAAAUCUAAGUGUCAUAAGAUUUCCUCCUUCAUGAAAAUGAUUGUGAGGAAAUGCUUUCACUAAGAAAGAUUUUAAGAAGAUAGUGAUUGUAAAAUUGCAUUCUCGAAUUCGAUUAUGGUUACGGUAUCCCUUUCCAUAAUUUGAAUUGUGAGGUUUGGCAAUUAGUCUUAAUUGUUUAGACACACAUAUGAACUAUCGAAGGCAAAGGUGUAUAAGUUCAAGAAGCCUUGAUAAAAGAUUAUCAAAGCACUAAGUAUUAGAAACAUGAACUUAAGAAAUUCAAUAAGUAUUGUUUUUCUGAAAGUUAAGAUGUUUAUGAAUACAUGUCGAAGCUAGUGGGAGCAUAAGUGUUAUGUUUUAUAAUAAUCAUCAUGAUAGUGGGAGCAUAAAUGUUAUGAUUGUAUGAUUAUUAAGGAAAGUAUUGCAAGUUGGCAAUAUUAAUUAUAGAAAACAAGAGUCAUACUUUGCAAAGUUGUAAGGAUGGAAUAGUUGUUUUGCUAUAAUUAAGGGAGAGAAUAUUAUGCUUCAUUUCAAAUCUAAAGGCUUAGGUUGAGAAAUGUUAAUAAAUUUAGUCAAAGGUACAUAGUGUGUUCUUAAAAUUUCGAUUAUGAUUACGGCAUUCCUCUUCACAAUUCGAAUUUUGAGAACAUAGCAAAUAAAACAUUAUGCGUCGUGUCCCAUACGCUUCGGGUAUAGGAUCGAUUGCAAAUGCUUUAAUGUUUGACCAUUCUAAAAUUUUCCAAAUGUCGAGCGCAUUUAGAGGGAAAAGGGACUAGAAUUGGUUUUGACUAAAAUAAUUAAACAACUAUCAAAGGACAAUCCAAAGUUCGACGAGGAUUGGUCGCUUGUGAGUAGUUGGAAGUAUGGUAUUGGAAAAUAUGGAAAUGUUUCCAUAUUGGAUGGACCAUAUCGACAUCAUUACGAAUAGAUAAGAUUCUAUUAAGAAUGAGUUGUCAUAUGGAACAUAUGGAAGUGUGUCCAUAUUGGGAAUUGAAUAUUGAGAAAUCUAUGACUAGAUUAGAAACUUCUAUGCAAAAGGAUGUUCAAAGAAUGUACUUUGAGUGAGAGACAUCACGUCUAUGGAAUUGUCUUGUAACAAUCUCCGAUAGAGGACUUUGUAAUAUCAUUGGCAAUAGUCUUUGUGACUUUGGUGCAGUGACAUUACGAAAGGAUAGUUGCAUAGAAUGUUAGAAUCUAGCAUAUUCUAUAAGUAGCAAGAAUUUGAUAUUCUUUGACUUAUGAAAAACGGAUUUGGAGUUGUGAAAUGAGAAGGAUUGGAAAUGUGUUCAAUGUGAUCUAUUUCACAAAGUAAGAACCAUAGGUAAACAUUGUGUGCAUGCUAGGAGCAUGGGACAAGUGUUGGAAUUCAAGUAAGAAGUUGAUUACCCGAAACGACAAAUAAUGAGUAAUCAAUAUGGUGAUAAAUAAAAGGUGUUUUAUUUAUACUCAAAGGUUUGAGGCCAUAUGGGAUUAGUAUUAUUCUUGUGUUUCACAUUUGCAUGUUUUGACUUCCAGAAUAAUUGAGUUUAUUAAGAAUAAUCGAAUUAUUCAAACGGGCCACAGUCGUUCAUAUGUUGGAAGUAGAUAUGAAUGAAGACUGUCGUGAAUUGGUGUGUGGAUUGUCUAAAAGAGUAUUAGACAUAAGCAAAUGUUUGCUGCAACGUUCAUGAGUGCUUAUGAAUAUGAUUUGAGCAUUGGAUUAAACCCACGCUCACUUGGAUCACUCCAUGAAUUGUAUCACGAGUGAUUGGUGAGACGAUAACAUCUUAUAUUCUUGAAACCGAGAUGUGUGAGUUGUAUCUUGCAAAUCGGUUGCACAUUGAUAAUAUGUAAACGCACUAGUAACUUGGUGUUAUAAAACAUAUUGUUGUGUGUGAUUCGGUGAGUGAGUGCAAGCAAGCAUUGUAUCAAAGUUUAUCCGUUCCUUUUAUCCAAAGUAGGAUAAAAGCGAUAUCUUUGGGCCCCUCGAUGGUUUAGUGAUGACAAACGUAAAUGCUCGGCCGGGCUAGGGCUAAUUUGAUUUGUUCAAUUAGUCAGUCGUCAUAAAUCGGAAAUCGAGAUAUAGUACAAAGAGAAUGAUUUGAAAUCAUAUCUCAUAUGAUAUCUAGAAUGGAGGAAUAUAUGAUCCCUUAUCUAAGGACACGCGUAUCUGAUAUGAUCAGAGUUGACAGCGGCUUUGGAAAGCUACGAUUGCAGAUCGGGAUCCGAAGUCAUACGCAGAAUAGUUGUUAGACUUAUCCAAGUGGGAGACUGUUGGAUUAGUGUCUAAGUCCAUAACUAUUUUGGUAUGUACUUGACCCGAUGGUGCAUGGUCCUUUUGGGUUGCCUUCACCAAAGCAACUUGAUUGGAGAAAUAAAUAGAGAGAGAGGUUAUUAUGAUUUAUUAAUAUGUUAUAAGAAUAAUAUAUUAAAGGAGAAAUCAUAUUUGUUUAAUUAAUAUUGGUCAAUAAUUAAUUAAGAAUUAAUUUUGUGAUCAAGUGUAAUUAAUUAAACUAGAGGGGCUGAAUUGUAAUUAUGUGAUAGUUACAAAAUAAGGUAAGGAUUAUCUUAUAUAUAUGGUGAACGAAUUUGAGGUGUAAAUCCCUUAGAAUUCGACUAGGAUAAGGAUUUCUAGGACUUAUCUUAUGGUUGCUUGGUGGACAAGCAACUAGAUAAGGAUAAGGACUAAAACCCUAAUCUUUACACCUAUAUAAACCCCCUAGGGCUUAGGAAUUCGUCCAACCCUUCCCAAGAGGUCCUAAGGACGAAUUCUAACCUCCCUCCUCUCUCUUUAUACCUUCUCCACUUGCUUAUGGUGUUUGUAAGCCAUUAGAGGAGUGACACUUGUGACUCUCAGCUUUCCAAGGUCAAUUCAAGGAGGAAUUGGAUUGUUAUUGCUAUAUAACAAUCAAGGUAUGUUCUUAAACCUAAUUACAUGUGAAUUCUGAUUUCCAUAUGCUAGAAUUAGGGUUCAAAGUCUUGGAUUCAAAGUAUGUACAAUAGAGAAACCUAGAUCCAAGCUUUAGGGUUUGUAUGAGCACAUAGGAUGUCUUAUGACCAAAACCCAUCAGUGGUAUCAGAGCCAUGAUUGGUUUCUAUUGUAUUGAUGCUUGAUGUAACUGAAAAUCGUGUUUUGGCCUCACUGUUCGACCUGACUCGGCGAGUCACUCUUGGACUCGGCGAGUCAGCCCUACUCGGCGAGUUCCAGAGGGUGACUCGGCGAGUCGGUGCGUCAGAUAGUGCUUAUCUCGGGAUUUCUUGCUGUUUUUGCAUUGGGAUAAUUACCUUAUCAUGUUAGAUUAAUAUUAAUCCGAUUAUAUGAUAUAUUUGACUAUAUUUUUAAUCUAAUUGAAGAUAUUUAUCAAUUAAUAAGAUAAUUGUUUCCUUAUAAGAUAAUUGAUUAAUUAUUUUAAGUAAAUUGAUAAAUUAUUUUGCAAGAAAUCAUCAAAUAUGGAUAAUUAUGUGAUUAAAUGUUAAUUUGAAUUAUUUGUUAUUUGAUCCUUGUUGUUGUGAAAAGUUUCAUAUUUGGCCCUUUAGGUUUUAUAGUUUAAAUUUGAACCCCAAAAGUUUUGUUGUUUUGAAAUUUAAAUAGUUGAAACCCUAAUGUUUUGAAAAAGGUUUCAAAACUUGCCCUCAAGUUUUGGAAUUUAAAUUUUGAUUAAAUAGUUUAAUUUUGAUGCAUAUUUAAAUUCUAAACCCUAAUGUGUUGAAAUGUUUCAAAACUUGCCCUCAAGUUUUGGAAUUUAAAAGUUGAUUAAAAGUUUAAUUAGGAAUGUUAAAUUCUAAAACUCUAGUAUAGUUUUGAAAAAGUUCAAAUCACACCCUUAUGGUUUUAUUAAUUAAUUAAGGUGUAUAAUUAAAAGAGGUUUAAUAAAUCCAUAAAAGUUUAGGUUUACAAUUUAAUUGAAUUAAAAGUAUAAUUGUUAAAUUAGACCACCUAGUAUUUUAAAAGUAUAAAAUACACCCUAUACUAUAUAUAACAUUAAAAGUCUAACAUUAUAUAUAUGUAUGAGUAAAAGUCAGUCUUACCGUUAGUAGGCCUCAUUCACGAAGCUGGUCUAUAAGGGGUGUUUAAGGAAAUUGCCUAUAAAAUGGCGAUUGAAUGGGUAUCCACUCUUACCCACCGCACUCUUGACUAGUGGAGGGUCGUUAGCCGAACGGGUAGGAUAGGACGAAACCUUCCAUUAUAAGUAUAAUGAAUUAUUAAAGUAACUAAAUGUUUUCAUAAAAUUCCCAAUCUUAGUUACUUAGGCAAAAGUGAAUUGAUGCAAUUCCAUGAAAUUACACUUUGUGCCCUUGCGAAGACGUUAGUGGAGCGUGUGUGGUUAACCGGCACACUAAAUGGUUCUAAGCAAAGGUAGCAAAGGGUGACUCAAUGUUUGUCAUAGUUCGGUGGAGCGUGUGUGGUUUACCGGCACAUCGAAUAGGUGACUGUAACAUGUGAGGGCACCAUGUAAGUUUGCAUGGUUAUUCACACCCGCUUUGUGAUCCUCGGCAUCCCAGUCACAAACAAGAGGGGCAUAUCGAGAUUUAAACAUGCC
rnacentral:lncRNA from 1 species